rnacentral:rRNA from 1 species
CCUACGGGAGGCAGCAGUGAGGAAUAUUGGUCAAUGGGCGCUAGCCUGAACCAGCCAAGUAGCGUGAAGGAUGACUGCCCUAUGGGCUGUAAACUUCUUUUAUAUGGGAAUAAAGUGCAGUAUGUAUACAGCUUUUCAUGUACCUUAUGAAUAAGGAUCGGCUACCUCCGUGCCAGCAGCCGCGGUAAUACGGAGGGUCCGGGCGUUAUCCGGAUUUAUUGGGUUUAAAGGGAGCGUAGGCGGGUUUUUAAGUCAGUUGUGAAAGUUUGCGGCUCAACCUUAAGCUUGCAGUUGAUACUGGCAUCCUUGAGUGCAGUAGAGGUAGGCGGAAUUCGAGGUGUAGCGGUGAAAUGCUUAGAUAUCACGAAGAACACCGAUUGCGAAGGCAGCCUGCUGGACUGUAACUGACGCUGAUGCUCGAAAGUGUGGGUAUCAAACAGGAUUAGAUACCCCUGUAGUC